rnacentral:lncRNA from 1 species
UCGCCGGACCCAGCGCACUUAAGAUCGAAGUCUCCCUUGCUCUCGUAAAACAUCUGGAAGUAAUGCUGCGGCAUCUGGUCCUUGUCAAGCCACUGCUGGCUUUCAACUUGAAGCUCCCACAGGUGAAUCCUCUCGCAAACUCGGUCAGUUCCCACUCCGCCGACUAACAGCAGCUUUUCCUUCCGCUUGAGCAGGAAAGACGAGUACAGGCACGCGGGCCGCGGCACCUUCAUCUCGGACCAUAGUCUGGUACCCAGGUUAUACGACAUGAGGUUGUAAGGGCGGGCAGACGUCAGACAGUAGAGUGUGCCCUGGCAGAAGACGGUUUUGGAGGUCCACACAGUAAUCUUGACGGUGUAGUAGCGGGGAAUGGCUCCAAGGACGGUC